rnacentral:rRNA from 1 species
UACGUAGGGUGCAAGCGUUAAUCGGAAUUACUGGGCGUAAAGCGUGCGCAGGCGGCUAUGCAAGACAGAUGUGAAAUCCCCAGGCUCAACCUGGGAACUGCGUCGGAUACUGGAUGGCUUGAAUUCGGGAGAGGGAUGCAGAAUUCCAGGUGUAGCGGUGAAAUGCGUAGAUAUCUGGAGGAAUACCGGUGGCGAAGGCGGCAUCCUGGACCGAGAUUGACGCUGAAAAGCGAAAGCCAGGGGAGCAAACGGG